rnacentral:rRNA from 1 species
UGGGGAUGACGUCAAGUCCUCAUGGCCCUUAUGCCCAGGGCUACACACGUGCUACAAUGGGCGGUACAAAGAGAAGCAACCUCGCGAGGGUGAGCAAAUCUCAAAAAGCCGUUCUCAGUUCGGAUUGAAGUCUGCAACUCGACUUCAUGAAGUCGGAAUCGCUAGUAACCGCGGAUCAGCAUGCCCGCGGUCCGAAUACGUUCCGGGCCUU